UUUUCUGUUGUUGAUGCUUCUUCGGUGGCUGAGGUGCAGUGCAUGUCGGAAGAUAGUUUUUUAAAGCAGUGUUCAUUCUCCGCUCGCCAUUUUAAUGAAUAUAGAAUUUCAUCUCGUCUAUACCUGCACAGAAGUAGUGACACACCGCGUUCAUCAUUCAUGUUGAGCAGGCUCGACUCUAAAAGGGCGAAGGAAAACUUUGCAAUACCGCUCUCUGUUUAUUAAAAGCUUUGUACUACUAAAUGCAUUGAAUGUCGUCUGUCCCCGUACAAAAACGACAGUACGAGGAAUACAACGCGUUCAUUCAAAAUAUACUAAACAAGGCUACAACACGAAACGUCACCAUUCCGCAAGGUUAAUUCCCUUCAGCGGAGUGCGCUCCGGUGCGGACUUCACAGAAGGGCGAAUUGUGAGACACAAAGUUAGAAAUGGGACACCCUGCGCCCAUGCAGACUCCUGUGUGCAUACUGGAACACGGCCAUAGAAGUUCUCCUUCAGAGGCAAAGAGCAAUGAACCAGAAGGAGAUCUUGGCAUGCUUUACGGAUCCAUCUUCCGAAGACACCACAUCACCCUCAUCAACUCUAGUAUCAUUAGCUUAGAAUGUAACUCCAACUGCACAGUGCACAACGGAAGGCCUUUGCAAAAGUGGUUAAGUGUGAUGGGAGAAACGCCGCCACCAUUCACACCCACUGGUAAACUGCAGAGGAGAGAAGUGGAUCCCACGCAGAGAGCUCUGUGGACACACAUCACAAACAUAUGGCAUUGCCAGACUUAAUGGCUCUUUAAUGGCAUUUAAGUGGCAAUAUUAAAAUGAUGGGGCUUUUACUAAAUUACCCAACAAGAAAAUAAAUAAAUAAAGGUCUGAGGAAAGGAUGAUAA